rnacentral:lncRNA from 1 species
AUCUGUGUUGGAGCCAUUAACCAAAGAGUUGCUUGCUUGUAAUAGUGAUGUAAUGUACAUAUUAAGCCCUGGAAUGAAGACAUGAUUCAUUUCUCAUGGAUCAUUGAGUACUUUGUGGUAACCUGGCCCUGAUUUGAUGACCCUAAGAUAAAAAUCCAGAAGCACGUGACAGAAACUAUCAUUUCUCCCAUGAUGCACUUCAACUCUGAAUGAUUGCAAAAGCACAUGCCAAGUUGAUUAUAUAUAGAAAUAGUCUUUAGUCAGCUGCAUUCCAUUUGGUAUACAGGCAAGUAUUUUUCCAUGCCGGUCUUCCUUUUGCUGGUAGUAAUGAGUUUUGUCAUUUGCUAUAACAUUAUCUGACUAUCCAUCUUUCUUUUAAUUAUGACUUCAUUGCAACUAACAUUUUGUAACAGUCUUAAUAGCAGAGGGGAUUAAAUCAUAAUUUACUUCAGAACUGUACAGUCAGUAAUAGGAAAAGGAGGGGGGAGGGAGAAAGAAAAUUACCUAUGUUUUCCUGAUGAUAAUGCCUGGCUUAAGGCCCCAGAUUCGUAUCACACUCCAAAGAAGUUCAUAAAUUCCAGGCAGUGCUCAGACUUGGGAGGCAGGAGUGUCUCUUCACACUUCACGGUGACAUGAGUGGUCUGUUGAAGACCCGCCAUUAGAGGAUAUGUUCACCCCUGCUUGCUUUCUUCCCCAAGCCAUAGUAUAGUUAAACAUUUAUGUGUUCAAGGCCAGGAGAUCAGAUUAAAGCAUUGACUGCUUUGCUUGGCUCUUGAAAACACUUGAAUCCAAGUAUCUGGCUUGAGGGUGGCCAUUUGCUGUGCACCAUUUUUAUUAAGACAUCUGGAGAUUAGAGGUGUUAAUUGGAAGUAAUUUUUCUGUAUUUGAUUUCUCCCCACGCAUUUUGAGAACUUUUAGAUCCAGCUGGAUGGCUGAAUCCUAGUAUCAAAUUCAGCCUAUUUCAAGUGGGCAAAACUACAAAGGCAGAAAAGAUUGCUCCUAGACUUGGUGGU